UGCGGGAUCGUCUAAUGGUAGGACAACAGGCUCUGAACCUGUUUAUCUUGGUCCGAAUCCAAGUCCCGCAGCCA
rnacentral:tRNA from 1 species